ensembl:lncRNA
ACGGAGAGCAAGACGAGACAAGAGUGUUUAAAGACGUGUUGAAUAUCUGAAAAUCUCAACAUGAGUAAUCCACAACAACAUCAGGGCUGCAAAGAUUCUGGCUCCAUGAGCUCAGGAGACGAAUGUGGACAGGUAAGAGCAAACUUUAGUGGUGGAAA